rnacentral:rRNA from 1 species
GCUCGUAGUUGGAUUCAGGGAUUUAUGGUUGUGGCGUGCCCCAGUCAUCGCAGCUCUGCGGAGGUGAUUGUGGGGUCAACACGUUCACAUUAGACCAUAACCCUUUUUACGUGGUAAAGGUUGGGCCGCUGAAGCCUCCUUAAUUGGAGGUGGAAGCACAUUCGCAGUCAAUACACUGCUUACGCCCCGACCACGGCUGUUACUGUGAGUAAAACAGAGUGUUCAAAGCAACCGACUUGCUCGGUCUGAAUGAUUCAGCAUGGAAUAACAAGGGAUCGACCAUUUGGCUUCUUUUGUUGGUUUUCCAGCCAGUUUGUGGCAAUUCAGUUCAGGAGUCUCCCCAUUUUUUCCAACUCCUUCGGGAUAGGACUUACGUGGACGGGCCCUGUUUCUAUCGGGAUCAAUAGAGGCAGUUGGGGCCUUCCGUACUUCGUGGUGAGAGGUGAAAUUCUUAGACCCACGAAAGACGAACAACAGCGAAGGCAGUAGGCCAAUCUGCUUUCAUUAAUCAAGAACGAGAGUAAGGGGAUCGAAGAUGAUCAGAUACCGUCGUAGUCCUUUACCGUAAAUUAUGCGGACUUGGGAUUGGUUAUGCGAAUUCAGGCAUAAUCAGCACCUCCCUCUUCAUCGAGAAAUCAAAGUUUUUGCGUUCUGGGGGGAGUACAUUCGCAAGGCUGAAACUUAAAGGAAUUGACGGAAUGACACCACCAGACGUGGAGUGUGUGGCUUAAUUUGACUCAACACGGGGAAUUUUACCCGGACAGCACAUGAUUAGGAUUGUCAGAUUGAGAGCUCUUGCAUGAUUUCAUGGAGGGUGGUGCAUGGCCGUUCUUGGUUGGU